rnacentral:tRNA from 1 species
UUCCUAAGCCGAGAAUCGAACCCGGGCCUCCUUGGUGAGAGCUAGGUAUCCUAGCCACUAGAUGUGA